GCCUAUUCAAUAAAAUUUUUUUAAUUAAUAUUAUGGUUAUUAUAGUUAGAGAGGCA
rnacentral:tRNA from 1 species